AGAACGAACGCUGGCGGCAGGCCUAACACAUGCAAGUCGAACGCCCCGCAAGGGGAGUGGCAGACGGGUGAGUAACGCGUGGGAACCUUCCCUAUGGUUCGGAAUAGCUCAGGGAAACCUGGGGUAGUACCGAAUAAGCCCUUCGGGGGAAAGAUUUAUCGCCAUUGGAUGGGCCCGCGUAGGAUUAGCUAGUUGGUGAGGUAACGGCUCACCAAGGCGACGAUCCUUAGCUGGUCUGAGAGGAUGAUCAGCCACACUGGGACUGAGACACGGCCCAGACUCCUACGGGAGGCAGCAGUGGGGAAUAUUGAACAAUGGGCGAAAGCCUGAUCCAGCCAUGCCGCGUGAGUGACGAAGGCCUUAGGGUUGUAAAGCUCUUUUGGCGGGGAAGAUAAUGACGGUACCGCAGAAUAAGCUCGGCUAACUCGUGCCAGCAGCCGC
rnacentral:rRNA from 1 species